rnacentral:rRNA from 1 species
UAGGGAAUCUUCCACAAUGGGCGCAAGCCUGAUGGAGCAACACCGCGUGAGUGAAGAAGGGUUUCAGCUCGUAAAGCUCUGUUGUUAAAGAAGAACACGUAUGAGAGUAACUGUUCAUACGUUGACGGUAUUUAACCAGAAAGUCACGGCUAACUACGUGCUAG